rnacentral:rRNA from 1 species
GACGAACGCUGGCGGCGUGCUUAACACAUGCAAGUCGAACGAUGAAGCCUAGCUUGCUAGGUGGAUUAGUGGCGAACGGGUGAGUAAUACGUGAGUAACCUACCUUUAACUCUGGGAUAAGCCUGGGAAACUGGGUCCAAUACCGGAUACGACCAAUCUCCGCAUGGGGUGUUGGUGGAAAGCGUUAUGUAGUGGUUAUAGAUGGGCUCACGGCCUAUCAGCUUGUUGGUGAGGUAACGGCUCACCAAGGCGACGACGGGUAGCCGGCCUGAGAGGGUGACCGGCCACACUGGGACUGAGACACGGCCCAGACUCCUACGGGAGGCAGCAGUGGGGAAUAUUGCACAAUGGGCGCAAGCCUGAUGCAUCGACGCCGCGUGAGGGAUGACGGCCUUCGGGUUGUAAACCUCUGUUAGCAGGGAAGAAGAGAGAUUGACGGUACCUGCAGAGAAAGCGCCGGCUAACUACGUGCCAGCAGCCGCGGUAAUACGUAGGGCGCGAGCGUUGUCCGGAAUUAUUGGGCGUAAAGAGCUUGUAGGCGGUUUGUCGCGUCUGCUGUGAAAGGCCGGGGGCUUAACCCCGUGUAUUGCAGUGGGUACGGGCAGACUAGAGUGCAGUAGGGGAGACUGGAAUUCCUGGUGUAGCGGUGGAAUGCGCAGAUAUCAGGAGGAACACCGAUGGCGAAGGCAGGUCUCUGGGCUGUAACUGACGCUGAGAAGCGAAAGCAUGGGGAGCGAACAGGAUUAGAUACCCUGGUAGUCCAUGCCGUAAACGUUGGGCACUAGGUGUGGGGGACAUUCCACGUUUUCCGCGCCGUAGCUAACGCAUUAAGUGCCCCGCCUGGGGAGUACGGCCGCAAGGCUAAAACUCAAAGAAAUUGACGGGGGCCCGCACAAGCGGCGGAGCAUGCGGAUUAAUUCGAUGCAACGCGAAGAACCUUACCAAGGCUUGACAUAUACUGGACCGCAUCAGAGAUGGUGUUUCCCUUCGGGGCUGGUAUACAGGUGGUGCAUGGUUGUCGUCAGCUCGUGUCGUGAGAUGUUGGGUUAAGUCCCGCAACGAGCGCAACCCUCGUUCUAUGUUGCCAGCACGUAAUGGUGGGGACUCAUAGGAGACUGCCGGGGUCAACUCGGAGGAAGGUGGGGAUGACGUCAAAUCAUCAUGCCCCUUAUGUCUUGGGCUUCACGCAUGCUACAAUGGCCGGUACAGAGGGUUGCGAUACUGUGAGGUGGAGCUAAUCCCUAAAAGCCGGUCUCAGUUCGGAUUGGGGUCUGCAACUCGACCCCAUGAAGUCGGAGUCGCUAGUAAUCGCAGAUCAGCAACGCUGCGGUGAAUACGUUCCCGGGCCU